UGCAGUCGAGCGGAAACGAUGAUAGCUUGCUAUCAGGCGUCGAGCGGCGGACGGGUGAGUAACGCGUAGGAAUCUGCCUAGUAGUGGGGGACAACCUGUGGAAACGCAGGCUAAUACCGCAUAAUCCCUGAGGGGGAAAGGAGGGGAUCUUCGGACCUUUCGCUAUUAGAUGAGCCUGCGUGAGAUUAGCUAGUUGGUGAGGUAAAGGCUCACCAAGGCGACGAUCUCUAGCUGGUCUGAGAGGAUGAUCAGCCACACUGGGACUGAGACACGGCCCAGACUCCUACGGGAGGCAGCAGUGGGGAAUAUUGGACAAUGGGCGCAAGCCUGAUCCAGCCAUACCGCGUGUGAAGAAGGCCUUAGGGUUGUAAAGCACUUUCAGAAGGGAGGAAAGGUUAAUGUUUAAUACGCAUUAGCUGUGACGUUACCUUCAGAAGAAGCACCGGCUAACUCUGUGCCAGCAGCCGCGGUAAUACAGAGGGUGCAAGCGUUAAUCGGAAUUACUGGGCGUAAAGCGCGCGUAGGUGGUUUGUUAAGUCGGAUGUGAAAGCCCAGGGCUCAACCUUGGAAUUGCACCCGAUACUGGCAGGCUAGAGUACGAUAGAGGAGUGUGGAAUUUCCUGUGUAGCGGUGAAAUGC
rnacentral:rRNA from 1 species